UGCUUUCUUUGGUUGUUAUUAUGGGAAGUAACGUUGCAGCUGGUGCAGAAAAGCUUGAAAGUUGCAGAGGAAUAAGCAAUAUUCUUAAGCGAGAUGAGAUGUCAAUAUUCUUGUCCCUCCCAUGUGAAGAGAUUGAAAAAGACAACAGGACAUGGUGGAAAAAACUGGAGGAGACAAGCCUGAUGGAUGUUGAUCUUCCAAAAUGUAGAAACAGCAGCUGCAGCCAACAGGACAUGGUGGAAACUACUGGAGGAGACAAGCCUGAUGGAUGGUGAUCUUCUAAGAUGUGGAAACAGCAGCUGCAGCCAACAGGACUUGGUGGAAGCAACUGGAGGAGACAAGCCUGAUGGAUGUUAACCCCCUUCCCCCCUUCAAGACGUAUCACAGUAGAUAACUGACACUGAUCAGGAUAAGAGAUUGAAAAGAUGCUUGAAGAACUAUCUGGCAGAUUGAAAGGAGCCCUGAAAGCAUGGAAUAUUUCCUCAGUCUAAUUGAUAUUGACUCUGAAAAAGUGCAGCUGGAGACAACAGGACAUGGUGGAAACAACUGGAGGAGGCAAGGCUGAUGGAUGUUGAGGCGAGGUUGAUUGAUGUUAAGGCAAACCUGAUGGAGAAUGAUCUCCCAAGAGGUGGAAACAGCAGUUAUUCUCAACAGGCCCCAAGACCAUAAAAUGAAAUAAAUUUUGAAAUAAUUUUGAUUACAAAACAAAAAUUCCAUGAUUUGUUUGAAUUUAAAUGCUAUACAAAACUGCAAAUGAUUAAGCAAAUAUGUUGCAUGGAUAAAACUCAGGAUACCGUAUUGGGAAAAAAAUGUUCUUGGAGCCAGGACUUGAUGGAAACAACUGGAGGAGACAAGACUGAUGGAUGUUGACAUUCCAAGAUUCGGAAACAGCAGCUGCAGCCAAUAGGAAACAACUGGAGGAGACAAGGCUGAUGGAUGUUAACCUUCCCAACAAGACACAUCACAGUAGAUAACUAACACUGAUCAGGUUAAAGAAGAGACUUCAAAGGAUGGUGUUGAUGAAGUUUUUCUUCAACAAUGUGAAAAAGAGCCUUUGAGCCUAACAGGAAUAUUGGUUGUAACAACUGGAAAAUGCAAUGCUGACAGCUGAUGAUAGGGAAUGAGCAGCGAUAGCCAGACAGGAAUUGGUGCAAAAAACCUGGAAACGGCAAGACUGAUGGAUGUUGACCCUUCAAGAUGUAAAAAUGAGCAGUUACAGUCAGACAGAAAUAAUUGGUAGAAAAACCUGGAGAAUGGCCAGACUGAUGGAUGUGGACCCUCCAAAAUGCAGAAAUGAGCAGCAACAGCCAGACAGGAAUUGGUGAAAACAACUGGAAAAGACAAGACUGAAAGGUGAUGACCUUCCCAACAGUUACACUGUCACUGUUAAGUGUGCUUUGAUGAUAUGGUGACAGUACCCAGUAAGAGAACGCAGAGGAAGUUAUGUUGGUGUGCUUCACAUAAUGAAUAACAAGGAGCCCUCAGAAAAUUAAAGUAUUGAAGAGGCAAAUCCUUGUGAUUGUAUUUGGAGAAAGACAAUGUAGAAAGCCUGAUCUGUGAAGCACACACAAGUACAUCCAAAACAAAUUUUUUUGAAGCAUUUGUUUUGGAAAUGGGUGUCUGAGUUGUAAGAGGGUAUGGGGUCGCCCACUCAGACACGUGGGUUUUCUCCGGGUGCUCCGGUUUCCUCCCACACUGACCCCAUUCUUUUUCUCUAUGCCAAUGAGAUAAUAUGUUAACUUUGAGAAUAUUCUAAUGUAAAUAUCUUUUAUUAUCUAUUGUUUUGCUCUAAUGUUAUUUUAUGUUGUUCAUUAUAUUUUUUAUUAUAAAAUGUUUAGAUGAAGUAGUUGAAAGCUAGUUGUUUAGUAGGCCUUGUCGAUACCCUAGGGCAUUACUGGUUGGAACUUCAUGGGUCCUUGGCCGCUACGGUUGCCAGGCUGGCCUGGGGAGGAGAGGUUGAAAAUGCAACUAGUCGUAGGCUGCUUUGUCUUUAAUAAUCUUUUUAUUUUAUCUGAAAUUAAACAAAUUAAAUAUGCUGCAGAUGUAAUCAUUGUUCAAUAUUAAAUUAGUAUUCCUGUAAUGUACAAUUUCUGUCAGCAGUUGUACCAGUAAUAAUUUGUAUAGUUGAUUCUGAUUAUUAAGUUAUUGUGCAAUUAAAUGAUUGCAUUUACGUGUAUAUAUACUGAUGUGACUAAAUAUGCAGGAAAAGUAAUUGACAAAUUUUGAUGUGAAAUUAUGAUUUGCAUUUGAAAAUGUUAAAUUGGGAUUUGAAAAUGUUAAAUUAUGAUUUGUUAAUGUUAA